rnacentral:rRNA from 1 species
GAUGAACGCUGGCGGCGUGCUUAACACAUGCAAGUCGAACGGAAAGGCCCUGCUUUUGUGGGGUGCUCGAGUGGCGAACGGGUGAGUAACACGUGAGUAACCUGCCCUUGACUUUGGGAUAACUUCAGGAAACUGGGGCUAAUACCUGAUAGGAGCUCCUGCUGCAUGGUGGGGGUUGGAAAGUUUCGGCGGUUGGGGAUGGACUCGCGGCUUAUCAGCUUGUUGGUGGGGUAGUGGCUUACCAAGGCUUUGACGGGUAGCCGGCCCGAGAGGGUGGCCGGCCACAUUGGGACUGAGAUAGGGCCCAGACUCCUACGUGAGGCAGCGGUGGGGAAUAUUGCACAAUGGGCGGAAGCCUGAGGCAGCAACGCCGCGUGCGGGAAGACGGCCUUCGGGUUGUAAACCGCUUUCGCCUGUGACGAAGCGUGAGUGACGGUAAUGGGUAAAGAAGCACCGGCUAACUACGUG